CUACGGGGCGCUCCAGGCGAGAAACCUUUGCAAUGUGCGCAAGCACGACAAGGUUAAUCCGAGUGUUUCCUGCUAAAGGAAUCUUUUGUUAGUCGUAAAACCACUGAUGAAUAAGGGGUGGGCAAGUUCUGGUGUCAGCCGCCGCGGUAAAACCAGCACCUCAAGUGGUCAGGAUGAUUAUUGGGCCUAAAGCAUCCGUAGCCUGUUCUGUAAGUUUUCGGUUAAAUCCAUUAGCUCAACUAAUGGGCUGCCGAAAAUACUGCAAAACUAGGGAGUGGGAGAGGUAGACGGUACUCGGUAGGAAGGGGUAAAAUCCAUUGAUCUAUUGAUGACCACCUGUGGCGAAGGCGGUCUACCAGAACACGUUCGACGGUGAGGGAUGAAAGCUGGGGGAGCAAACCGGAUUAGAUACCCCCGUAGUC
rnacentral:rRNA from 1 species